UUAAGUCAUUGUCAAAGUCAUCUUCAACAAUUUCUUUCUGCAACUCGGAUUCUUAUUUUAAGAAAGUUUGCUGCAAUGUUGCUUGUGAGAUGGGUCUAAGCUGGGAACCUGGUACACUGUUUAUAUUCCCCAUGCCAAACUUGGUUUUGGAUUUUUUUUUUUUUCUUAUUACCUUGGAGUGAGAGUGGGUUUUUUUUCUUUCUUUUAUUAUUACUGAAAGGUCUUCAAACUUCUGUUUAAUUUUUGAAGGAUUUAUGUCUCUUAAAUAUCUAAGUGAAUAGAAAAAAUUGUAUUCCUUUAAAUCCCAAUUUGUAGAGAAAGCAGCUUGAGAGUUGGGUAAGUGAAUUAGCUCAUGGGUUAAAUUUACAAUAGGAAGGAGUAUGUGGGAGCUGCCUAUUCAGAGUGUUAAAGAAAUAAUAGGAUUAGUUCUUGUAGUCUCAAUGCAGAAAAUGCGGACUUCAGUCUGACAUGGACGCAUGUGUUCUUAGCUCGGUCUUUUGUGUGAAAUCAAGGACAAUGAAAAUUUAAGAUGCUUUUGCUUUGAGGUCCUCCAGUUGAAUCUUUUAAGGUGGUUCUUUUUGUAUGUGCACAAAAGGUGAAUUUAGUAUGUUAAAUACCUGACUAAUGAUUUCCCCCCCUACACGCUUCUCUCCAAACUUGUUUUGCAAUCACCGGGAUCUUGAUUGGGACUACAUCACUGGUAAAAUAUUGCUACCCUAAAACAUUGAUGUUAAACAUGCUUUUUCUUAAAUAACUAAUUUAUCUUCCAGUGUUUUAGUAAUGGGAAUGGAAAUGCUGUGCAUGCAGGCAUUUUUUCCGUUGUAGUAUUUUUAAGUUAAAUGUCAUUCAUUGUUCAAAUGUGCGCACAGUUAACGUGUAUACAUUUUUGUCCAUCCUUCUGCAAUAGGUGUCUUCAUAUACAACGCACAUUAGUCCAGAUGCUUGAAACAGAGAGCAUUAUUUUCAGUUUCUUGUGUUUGUUUUAUCAUUUCAUAAUCAUUCAUAUGUAUCUUUAUUUUUAGCUUAAGUGAAAGCCAUGAAGCAUUAAGACUGCAUGGGGGUUAUUUUGAGAUCAUCUGAUUUCCUACUAGAAGGUGCUGUGAGAUAUCAUCGCCUUGAAAACCUUCAAAGAGAAUGGUCUGAAAAGUUUUUUUUUGGUGGUGACAUGUUCCAGAACUUGGAUCAGUUUUACAUUUUCAUGUAGCAUGAGAGAGUUUGUAAAUUUAUGUGUCUGUAUAACAAUAAACUUCCAUCAGAGGACUUCA